rnacentral:rRNA from 1 species
GAUGAACGCUAGCGAUAGGCCUAACACAUGCAAGUCGAGGGGCAUCACGGAGUAGCAAUACUUUGGUGGCGACCGGCGCACGGGUGAGUAACGCGUAUGCAAUCUACCUACAACAGGGGGAUAACCCGGAGAAAUCCGGACUAAUACCGCAUAACACAGGGGUCCCGCAUGGGAAUAUUUGUUAUAGAUUUAUCGGUUGUAGAUGAGCAUGCGUUCCAUUAGGUAGUUGGUGAGGUAACGGCCCACCAAGCCUGCGAUGGAUAGGGGAACUGAGAGGUUUGUCCCCCACACUGGAACUGAGACACGGACCAGACUCCUACGGGAGGCAGCAGUGAGGAAUAUUGGUCAAUGGGCGAGAGCCUGAACCAGCCAAAUCGCGUGAAGGAAGACUGCCUUAUGGGUUGUAAACUUCUUUUGUACAGGAAUAAAAAGAGGGACGUGUCCUUUAUUGCAUGUACUGUACGGAUAAGCAUCGGCUAACUCCGUGCCAGCAGCCGCCGUAA